GGCGAUCAAAUACCGCCCUAGUUCUGACCGUAAACGAUGCCAACUAGCGAUCCGUUCCAGUCGACUCAUCGCUCUGGUGGGGAGCUUCCCGGAAACGAAAGUCUUCCGGUUCCGGGGGAAGUAUGGUUGCAAAGCUGAAACUUAAAGGAAUUGACGGAAGGGCACCACCAGGAGUGGAGCCUGCGGCUUAAUUUGACUCAACACGGGGAAACUCACCCGGCCCGGACACCGUAAGGAUUGACAGAUUGAUAGCUUUUUCAUGAUUCGGUGGAUGGUGGUGCAUGGCCGUUCUUAGUUCGUGGAGCGAUUUGUCUGGUUUAUUCCGAUAACGAGCGAGACUCUGGCCUACUAAAUAGUUGACGCAUUGCCACUGUGCGCACAACUUCUUAGAGGGAUUUUCGGUGUUUUCAACCGCACGAAAUUGAGCAAUAACAGGUCUGUGAUGCCCUUAGAUGUCCGGGGCUGCACGCGCGCUACACUGGCAAACGCAACGUGCCUGUCCUGCCCCGAAAGGAGCGGGUAAACCCCUGAAAUUUUGCCGUGAUUGGGAUCGGACAUUGCAACUAUUGUCCGUGAACGAGGAAUUCCUUGUAGGGGCGAGUCAUCAACUCGUCCCGAAAUACGUCCCGGCCCUUUGUAA
rnacentral:rRNA from 1 species